rnacentral:rRNA from 2 species
UUAUUGGGCGUAAGCGCGCGCAGGCGGUUUCUUAAGUCUGAUGUGAAAGCCCACGGCUCAACCGUGGAGGGUCAUUGGAAACUGGGGAACUUGAGUGCAGAAGAGAAAAGCGGAAUUCCACGUGUAGCGGUGAAAUGCGUAGAGAUGUGGAGGAACACCCGUGGCGAAGGCGGCUUUUUGGUCUGUAACUGACGCUGAGGCGCGAAAGCGUGGGGAGCAAACAGGAUUAUAUACCCUGGUAGUCCACGCCGCCAACGAUGAGUGCUAAGUGUUAUAGGGUUUCUGCCCUUCAUUGCUGCUGCUAACGCAUUAUGCACUCCGCCUGGGGAGUACGGCCGCCAGACUGAAACUCAUAGGAAUUGUUGGGGGCCCGCACACGCGGCGGAGCAUGUGGUUUUUUU